UGUCGGUUCCCUCGCAACACUUUCGUUGUGAACCCCGUCAGAUCCGGAAGGAAGCAGCGGCAGCAGCGGAUGUGUGUGCCGGGGUGUGGCUGGCGCUG
rnacentral:SRP_RNA from 1 species